rnacentral:lncRNA from 1 species
ACGCGUGUGCAUGCAUUCAUUCGUGUAUGAACAUAUUUGUAUGCUGUUGUGUACGUGGAUGAUAAUAGUGUACACGCAUGAUAAAUAAUUAGCAGUUUUUAUUUGUUUUAAGUGCAUAAAUAAAUUCAGCUUUGUGUGUGUCUGCUCGUUUGACUACACAUUCACCUUCAUGUUCACCAACAUGUGCUUGUCCUUACUUUUACGCUUACUUUGAUAAUAACACAUUUCCAACAUAUUCACUGGAGUUACGCAAAAAAUAUGUGGAAAAAAAAAGGAAAAUGUCAAUUUUGUUUUUAUUUUAUCUCGUUGUAUAUUUUAUAAAAGCAAACGAUACAAAUAAAAAUAUAAUUUUGUUUAAUAAUUUAAAUAAAAAUAAAAAUUUGAAAUAUCUAAACUCCGGAAAUACAAAUGAAUGUUAUUUCUGGUAUUAUUUUAGGGAUGACUUUUUUAACAUUUAUUAUUUAAAAAAUGGAAAAUGUAUUAUGAACAAUAAUAGAAAAGAACCUUCAUUGGUUCUGAAUAGUGUUAGUAGUACUGUAACCGAUAACACUACAACUACUACUACUACUACUACUACUACAACUACUACUACAACUACUACUACUACAACUACUACCACUACUACUCCCGCGCCCAUAAAUCAUUAUAACAUACUUAAUAGCACCAAAUGGAUAACUACAGAUAACGUAUGUACAAAUGAAGUAUUAAUUUUAUUGAAUAAAAAAAAAGUCUCUUGCAAAUCCAUGUCAUCUUUCAUAAUACAAGUAAAUAAUAAAACAAAAGAACAAAAUAAAUAUAUUUUUAUCGAAUAUAAUGCGAGUAAUUCUAUAUUUAUGAUGAAUGAUUAUAUUACUACUUAUAUUAAUACAGAUGAAAGAAAAAAUAUCUAUUUACUUUCUGAUCAUAGAAAAGAAAUAGCAGUAACAAAUAGUAGUGUUUUUAGCAUUUAUUUUGAUAAGGCGUAUAUAGAGAAUGCUUACAUUAGAGUUGUUAAAAGUGAUAUUGCUCGAACGGGUGUUAGUAAAAAUAAUGCUGUUUUGUUUAUAAGAACAGGUAGCAAAUCAUGUGUUACUAAAAUUGUUAUAGAGCUGCACAACAAAUGUAGACCCAUUUUUUUUAUUAUCGUUGUAUUGAUUUACGAAUUGAUGAAAUUACUUCCUAAUAAAACUGAUUAUGUAGAAGGAAGUAUGAUUAAGUUAGUAUUGUUAAAGCUUGACCAAACGAGAGAUUAUAACAAAACUCAUGAUAAAAACAUUCCCAACAACAACCCAUGUAUAGUUUACAAACGUAAAUAUAUAUUAAAAAUUUCUUCAGAAAUGAAAAGAAUAAGAGAAC